ACCUUCGGCCCUAUUCGAAAAAUGCAAUACGGAAAAGAUAUGAGAUCGUUAAGUUCUGGUUUAGAUAUAGAUAAGUUCUCAAUUAGAUAUCGUUUGUAUGUGGUAUAAUUGACAGAAGCUGCACGAUUCGGAUGACCAAUGUCACUUUGACGUUAGAAUAUCUUUGAAAGAUCUUAGUCAGUGUUGCCAGAUGGGUUUUGCGUUCCGUUACGUGCACCUCUUAAAAAUAGUACGCAAAUUCAAGUUGAGUACGCAGUAUAAAAUUUACGGUGCGUUCCUAAAUAAUAUUAAUCGGAAAACCACCGAAUUUUAUCGCUACUAUAAAAAUGUUGAAAAUAGAACUUCACAUAUUUCGAUAAAAUAUUUCUUGUUUAAGGAGACUCAAUUCAAUGCAAAUUUGCCAACGGUGGCGUUUCGAAAUGUAAUACCGUCGCGGCGUCUGUCAUACUUCGGUCUACUUAAACACGCUGCACGCUGCUGCGACGCGUCAGGGCCUACCGCGAACCACGUUCGACGUGUUGCCUCUCUGUCGCACUUAUAAAUUCGUACGUAAGUAUGACAGGGAGGCAACACGUCGAACGUGGUUCACGGUAGGCCCUCUGUUCUGUGAUUGUUAGGCAAACACAAACAUUUUUUUUUACAACGGACGCCCACGAGUAUUCCUCUGCGUUGAAGUCAUUGUUGAAGUUUGAAAACUCAUAAAGUUUUGUUUUGUGAGUGAAACCGUGAAUAAUACUAAAUAAAAAUGUGUGACAGUGAUCACAGUGAUGAAAAUAUGUUGCCCACUACUCCUCAGGAAAUAUUAAAGCCUUUUCCGUUUAUGUUGUUCCGUUGUUUGCUAUUUUGACAACUUGAAAAGUUUUAUCGGCAGUUUGCGUGUUAUUACUGUGAAGUGUUUGGCCAAACCGCCGCUACCACUUUUGAAAGGAUGCCACCCAAAAAUCCAAAAAUUCGCUCGAACGCAGCACAAAUUAGAUUGCUCGUUGAAUACAUGUCACAGCACACCCGGUUCGCCAACCGGGAAUUUGACGGGCCUCUAAGGACCCCAGAGGUACGAGGCGCAAUGGGAGGCCCUUGCACAGGCCUUAAGGGAGCACGGGCCCAAUAAGUCAGUGCAGGCAUGGAAAGUGUAUCGGCAUAUAAUAACAAGUCAGAAAAUUUGAAACGAGUGGCGAUAAAUUAAAACACGACUGAAGGGAGUGUUUUAAAUUGACACGAGUUGCGAAUUACCUAUUCGCACAUGUAUCGUACAACGUUUUACAGUACAUAAGGUACCCUUUAAAUGUUUGACACAGUAACGUAAUAUGGUAAUUUUCGCACUAGUGCGGUAAAGUAGUACCAUAUGUACAGUCAGCGUCAAAUACUUCGUAGUACACCAUACUAAAUAUAUGGUGUACCGAACUAUUUGGCUACUUUGGUUGCUACAAAGUAUUUGACGCUGACUGUACUGUAAAAGCUGUUUUAAUACUAUUAAUAAGUAUAGUUAGUGUAUUAAUUUUGCCAUAAUCGCAUGCAGUUAUGACUAUGGGUAUAAAUAUUGUUGAAUUUAUAUAGCCGAGUCCACACAGAGCGACCGAGGAGGCGCGUGCGUUUUCCUUGCCCGAGCGCACGUCUACACUGGCCAGUUUGUGCGUGAGAAUAUUGCCUCACGCGUAUGCUCGCUCUGUGUGGACCCGGCUAAUCAUGUAUAAAUGACAACAGAUUUUAUUCUCUAGGUGGGCACCUGCUCCCCGCUGGCGACACCCUUGCAGAAGCUAGCAUUUUCAGAUAUAUUUACUUUUUAAGUUUUUGGUUUGGUUUAACCGGAAUUAUUUUUACCCGACUAUGAGAAUGGGAAGGGUUAGGAUUUUAGCAGUCUACGUAUGGAUGCCGUAUAUAUGCCGGAUAUCCUGAACGAACUGAAAAUUUUUAAUGAGGCGCAGAAACAAAAAUGGAGUGUUUUGAAGGAGGGGCACGACUUGUUGGCGAAUCGGUUCAUCCUCUGACCUUUCCAAGGAGCAAGAUCUUAUUUUCGUGUAUGAGAGCCUUUGGAAUACAAUAUUAUUAACGCCCGAAUGAGUGCUACCGCGUUUAAUUUCGCCACUAGGGGUGCUAGUGUAGACGGAGGUCUUUCGAAAUGUCAAAUGCAUAGCUUUUUUAUCGUGAAUUUCUACUCCUCAUUCAUAAUUGUGGUAAAUCUUAUUUCAUCUUUGAUUAGUUAGUCACCAAACAAAAGUAACUCAAAUAGCCGGGUCCACACAGAGCGAGCAUACGCGCCAGGCAACUUCCUCACGCACAAAACGGCCAGUGUAGACGUGCCUCGGACGAGGCGGAGCGCGCGUUUUCCUCGCCCUAGUGCGCCGCCUCGGCCGAGGCACGUCUACACUGGCUGGGAUUACCAUCGAAUCGUCUAAUGUCGGUUUUGUUCCUUUGGGUUUGUUGUACCUAGUGACAUGUUUUUUAAACGAUUGCAACGCCAUCUGCGAGUUGCUCGAGAGACUCAACUUACACACAUAUAUGGAUGUGGCUUCAAAAGUAAUCACCGUUAAUAUCUCGUACCUUGAAUAAAGGACCCACUUCUUAAUUAUUAUUAUAAAUUAUAUUUUGGUAUUGUUCCAGUAUUAACACAUUGGAGGACACCGAGAUUAUUGAGAACUUGGAAGACACAGUUAUAAUGGAAGAGGAAGACGUCUGAGCUAAGCGCUGUCCUCGCACCCUCCGUCUAGUUUACGUUUGCGGCCAUAUCAAAAAUACACACCGUAUGUUUAUUAGGGUUCCGUACCAAAAAGGUCCAAAAGGAACCCUUAUGGUGCUAUUGCUAAAUAUCUCGAGAAGUACUUAAGCUAUCGAUGUGAAAUUUGGAAUAGUAAUGAAUAACGCUGACCCAAACAUAUUGGAUGUGUAUUUAUUUUAUUUUAUUUGUAAGUAUUAAUAAUGGAAAAUUCCCAAUAUGAAGAGGGGGUAAAAUUGCAAAGUCUAGUUAAAUAGGUCAAGUGGGGUAUCAUUUGAAAGAGCUCAAAUUGAAAAUAACAAAACAAUUUUUUGUUUUCAUUGUGAAAAAAAAAUUUACGUAUGAAGGAAAAUGUGAAAAUAAUACCAUCCCCCCCCCCUCUCUCAUCUCCGAAGUUUAAGAAUAAAAAUUGUUUUUUUUACAUUGGUCAAGUCUUUCAUGAGAAAAUUUGAAGUUUGUACGGAACCCUCGGUGUGCGAGGUAAACGAACUCGCACUUGACCGGUUAUUCUUAUUGCCCAUAAGGCCCGUCCUUAGAUAUAUGUCAAUGAUUACGGUGAUCUCGAAAAUGGCUCAAAUGAUUUCAAUUAAAUUUGCUAUAUGGGGGUUUUCGGGGCGUUUUUGAGUUUUUACCUAUUUGUUUUCCGAGCAAAAGGAAUUAAAGUUUACUGAUUUUGAAAA